UGCAAGUCGAACGGUAACAGGUCUUCGGAUGCUGACGAGUGGCGAACGGGUGAGUAAUACAUCGGAACGUGCCCGAUCGUGGGGGAUAACGAGGCGAAAGCUUUGCUAAUACCGCAUGCGAUCUACGGAUGAAAGCGGGGGAUCUUUGGACCUCGCGCGGNCGGAGCGGCCGAUGGCAGAUUAGGUAGUUGGUGGGAUAAAAGCUUACCAAGCCGACGAUCUGUAGCUGGUCUGAGAGGAUGAUCAGCCACACUGNGACUGAGACACGGCCCAGACUCCUACGGGAGGCAGCAGUGGGGAAUUUUGGACAAUGGGCGAAAGCCUGAUCCAGCCAUGCCGCGUGCAGGAUGAAGGCCUUCGGNUUGUAAACUGCUUUUGUACGGAACGAAAAGCCUNUUUCUAAUAAAGAGGGGUCAUGACGGUACCGUAAGAAUAAGCACCGGCUAACUACGUGCCAGCAGCCGCGGUAAUACGUAGGGUGCAAGCGUUAA
rnacentral:rRNA from 1 species